rnacentral:rRNA from 1 species
CUCUCAAACCCCUGUGCACUUUUUGUAGGCUUGGUGGGAUAGGCUGACUUCGGUCGGCUUUGAAUGCCUCGCCUAUGUAUUAAAACAAACGCUUCAGUUUAGAAUGUAACCUUGCAUAAUAAGCAAAUAAAUACAACUUUCAGCAACGGAUCUCUUGGCUCUCGCAUCGAUGAAGAACGCAGCGAAAUGCGAUAAGUAAUGUGAAUUGCAGAAUUCAGUGAAUCAUCGAAUCUUUGAACGCACCUUGCGCUCCUUGGUAUUCCGAGGAGCAUGCCUGUUUGAGUGUCAUGGUAUCAUCAACCUUCAACACUUUUGUGUCUGUAGGCUUGGACUUGGAGGUCGUGUCGGCGUUCGCGUCGGCUCCUCUGAAAUGCAUUAGCGUGAAUCUUACGAAUCGCCCUCGGUGUGAUAAUUUCUACGCCGUAGACGUGCAGUAUAUAGUGUUCGUGCUUACAACCGUCUGCAAAGACAACAUCAUUGACAAUCUGACCUCAAAUCAGGUAGGACUACCCGCUGAACUUAAGCAUAUCAAUAAGCGGAGGAAAAGAAACUAACAAGGAUUCCCCUAGUAACUGCGAGUGAAGCGGGAAAAGCUCAAAUUUAAAAUCUGGCGGUCUUCGAUCGUCCGAGUUGUAGUCUGGAGAAGCGUCUUCCGCGCUGGACCGUGUACAAGUCUCUUGGAACAGAGCGUCGUAGAGGGUGAGAAUCCCGUCUUUGACACGGACUACCAGUGCUUUGUGAUGCGCUCUCAAAGAGUCGAGUUGUUUGGGAAUGCAGCUCAAAA